rnacentral:rRNA from 1 species
UGGGGAAUAUUGGGCAAUGGGCGCAAGCCUGACCCAGCAACGCCGCGUGAGGGAAGAAGGCCUUCGGGUUGUAAACCUCUGUCCUAUGGGGAAGAAAAAAUGACGGUACCAUAGGAGGAAGCUCCGGCUAACUACGUGCCAGCAGCCGCGGUAAUACGUAGGGAGCGAGCGUUGUCCGGAAUUACUGGGCGUAAAGGGUGCGUAGGCGGUUAUUUAAGUCAGAUGUGAAAUACUUGAGCUUAACUCAGGGGCUGCAUCUGAUACUGGGUGACUAGAGUGCAGGAGAGGAAAGUGGAAUUCCUAGUGUAGCGGUGGAAUGCGUAGAUAUUAGGAGGAACACCAGUGGCGAAGGCGACUUUCUGGACUGUAACUGACGCUGAGGCACGAAAGUAUGGGUAGCAAACAGGAUUAGAUACC